rnacentral:rRNA from 1 species
UUAAGCAUAUCAAUAAGCGGAGGAAAAGAAACCAACAAGUAUUCCCCCAGUAACGGCGAGCGAAGUGGGAAGAGCUCGAGCCUGAAAUCUCUGGCAGUCGCUGUCAGCGAAUUGUGGCCGGGAGAGGCAGCUUAGGCUCCGACCGGUGCUGUCGAAGUUGACCUGGAAAGGCACGUCGCAGAGGGUGAGAGCCCCGUGUGCGGCACCGCCGGGCGGAGCUGCUACUGUCUUCGGAGAGUCGGGUUGUUUGGGAAUGCAGCCCAAAGUGGGUGGUAAACUCCAUCUAAAGCUAAAUACUGGCACGAGACCGAUAGCAAACAAGUACCAUGAGGGAAAGGUGAAAAGCACUUUGAAAAGAGAGUCAAAAAGACCGCGAAACCGUUAGGAGGGAAACGAAUGCGGCUGAAUCGGCCCUUCCUCAGGCUCAGGAGACGUUGGCGUGCACGUCGCGUGGAGGCGUCUGUCCCCCGCUAGGCUGCGACGCCAUCUCCUCUGCAUUCCUGUGGAGGGCCGGCCAACGGCGGUUGCUCCCGGCUCAGGAGGGCAGUCGGGCAGGUGGCUCCCCAYUCGGGGAGACCUUACAGCCGACGGUCUGGCAGACCGGGAGCGACCGAGGAGAGUUUGCGAAGCUUCGCACUUGCUGCGCAAGCCCCGUUCGCGGGGCCGCGCCGCUUCUGUUCGUUCGGGCGUCGCGCCGUUGACUGCUCGCAGUGUUCGGUGACGAUCGUCUGCUCGUGCGGGGGACCGGCGACGUUUUGCGCUGCGGUCGUUGGUGCUCGAAUGGCUGCAUCCGACCCGUCUU